rnacentral:tRNA from 1 species
GGUGGCUCAGUGGUAGAGCGCAUACCUUGUAUGCAUGAGGCCCUGGGUUCGAUCCCUCAGCACCA